rnacentral:sRNA from 1 species
GGAUCGGGCCUUUCAGGCAUCCUCUCCUAAAAACUUUCCGGCCGGUCGCAAGACCGGCCUUUUUUUGGCCCUGA